CAGUCGCCGCGGUAAUACCGGCGGCCCGAGUGGCGGCCACUAUUAUUGGGCUUAAAGCGUCCGUAGCCGGGUUGGUUAGUCUCCCGGGAAAUCUGGCCGCUUAACGGUCAGAAUUCCGGGAGAUACUGCCAGCCUAGGGACCGGGAGAGGCCGAGGGUAUUCCCGGAGUAGGGGUGAAAUCCUAUAAUCCCGGGAGGACCACCUGUGGCGAAGGCGCUCGGCUGGAACGGGUCCGACGGUGAGGGACGAAGGCCAGGGGAGCAAACCGGAUUAGAUACCCGGGUAGUCCUGGCUGUAAACGAUGCGGACUUUGUGUCGGACAAGCUAUGAGCUUGUCCGGUGCCGGAGGGAAACCGUUAAGUCCGCCGCCUGGGGAGUACGGCCGCAAGGCUGAAACUUAAAGGAAUUGGCGGG
rnacentral:rRNA from 1 species